UGCCACGUGGAAGUAUAACACUCCCAGUUAGGUAAUUUUCUUUCGGAUGUUUCAGCUUCCCAAGCAAGAAGCAUUUGCACGUCUUCUUAGAUCUGAAAACUUGUCUUCUGCUUUCGCGACUGUAUUAAGGGGAAGAAAUGGACAGGAUAAGCAGUUUACCAGAUGGUGUGAUCAUCCAUAUCUUGUCUUUCUUACCGUUGGAGAAGUCUGCUCAAACUUCGGUUCUCUCAAAGAGAUGGCGCAUCCUCUUUGCCUUUGUAGAAGCCGGAAAACCGGACUGACAUAAACGAUAAAAUAAAAGCGAUGUUAAAGAAAUAUACGAAUGUAAAAGGCGAAUACAAGAACCAUAAAAAAUCAUAUUCGCAAAGAGGAGCGCGCGUGGGGAGCCUUUCUCUCUCACCCAGCCGUUUGCACCCUUGUAACAUGGGAACAUAUAUAAACAUCUCAACUCUUCUCUUCCUCCCCGAUGUGGGACUUUCCACAUGUAUUUGACUUGUGUUUUGUGGGGUUUUCAUGUUUUUAGCCCAGUCAUUAUUCAUUCACAUUUCCAUUAAAGCCCAAUGGCUUUAAUUGAUCCAACAAUUAUGCAGUUACAAAUGCUCCCCAAAUCUUGAUUUGUUACCGUACCAAAAUGAUAUGCGGGCGGCCAAGAUUCUUGAAAUUUGUAGAAAGAGUCUUGUAUGUCUCAGGAAACUCUUCCAUAAAGAAAUUUUCCUUGAACUGUAGGAAGGGUUAUCGCAUUAAGCUUUGGUUACGUGAUGUACUGAAUCGUGGUGGUCUCUUGGAUCCUGAUCUCCAUCUGGACGUAGCUGAUGCUGGUCUUCCUUGUGAGGUUUUCACUUGCAAUACACUUGUGGAGCUGAAACUAACUGAGUUUUGUAUGAAAGAGCUUCCUGAGGAUGCUUCUCUCCCUGCUCUUAAGAAGCUUUUCUUGAAAUCAAUUGAGUUCGAUAGUCUUCAGCUUUGUGCCUUUGGAAAGCUUCUUUCAGCUUGCCCCGUUCUGGAGGAGCUGGUCUUAGAUGAUUUGAGGUGGGAUCUGUGGAAAUGGUCUCGCUCGGUCUUCAGCCCUAGCCUUCGGAAACUUACUUUUAAACAUACAGAGUUCAGGGGUGUUGAUAUGUCUGAUUUUGGGAACAUUCUAUUGAUACUCCCAGUGUUACCUAUUUAGACUACUAUGAUCUUGUCCCCAGUUCCUAUCUGGCUGUCAAUCUCAAUUCUCUUGUCGAAGCAAAUCUCGAUCUUGUUGGGACAAUAGGCCACUAUUAUAACUCACAUUUAGCAGGAGAAGGUGAUAAUAUUACUAGCAAUCCAACAGAUAUGUUCAAGGAAAUGAGAAAUGUACAAAUCAUGAACUUGUUAUCUCAAAAUAGUUUGGAGGUAACUAACUGUUUUCCUUCUUUAUUAUUAUUUUUCUUUUCUGGGUAUAAUAUGUUAUUAAAGAAAACUGAAAGAAGCUGAUGAUUUGGAAUCAUAUCCUUGUACUAAAUUUAAGAUCUUGUUGAAUAUAAGACUUUUUAUCUUAAAUGAUAUUGGAAUUGGUCAAUGUCUGACUUUGUUAAUUUGAUUUCUGUUUCAGAUAUUCUAUUUAUUCCGUGGAGUAAUCCCAGUGUAUGAAAACAUGUUUCAUUUAUCUAUUACAACGGAAUCAACAGACUGAUGGAAUGGACUGGUAUAUUUGCUAAACCAUUGCAGAGACUCUCACCAUCAAGGUAAAUGACCUCUUAACCUUGUAAGUUUAUAGCUAAGCUCCAAAAUCUUCAAUUGCUAAUCCUCGACUCUCUGUUGGUUCAGGGUACCUUGCACUAUGCUCCAUAUGAUUUUGUUUGCCGCUGUGUGUUGGAAUAUUCUUUCCUUGUCAUGUCCUGUGAAAGUCGUAAAAGAUAACCAAGUACGGAGGAACUAUCGACGAGUUGUUACAGCCAGUGCCGGCUUAGAGCAUGUGCUCACAGCACAUUUGCACAGGGUCCUGUUUUUUACUUUACAAAAUUAGGACCCUAUUUUGUUAAAAAAUAUAAAUAUUAGAGUCUAGUUUUUAAAUUGACUAUAAUAUAACUAAAGGUUGACAAAAAAAAAUUAAGGCAGCACAGGGCCCUUUUAAUAUUUGAGCCGGGCCUGGUUACAGCUAAAGUAUAUUUUAGAGAAACUAUCACGUCUUGAGCGGUUGGAAGUUAGUAUUUGGGGGUACAGAUGACAUGAAGUUUCAAAAAGCUAUUUCAAAAAGUUUCAAAUUGGAUAGUUUUGCAUCGGUAUUCGAGAAGGAAUCAGAAUAUUUUUGGUAAAAUGUUAUUUGAUGAUGGGUCCGGUCCGGAACUCCACUUUGAUUACUCUCGCUGGACAGCACAUGGGUUUUUGAGCAAUGUCAGCUACAAAAACAAGUAUCCUACUAACGUUACGUUAGGUAUCUUUUUUACUAAUAGGCCUAUAAAUAGCCGAUUAAAAAGUAAGAGCUAGGUUUGACCAAAAAAAUCAUAAAUGAAUUUAUUAGCCCAACAAACAUAAAUAGUCCUCGUUUAUUACGAAACGGUAAAUGUCGCCGAACCAUAGUUCUAAGACAACAUUACUACAGUGACCGUUCACAUAGAGAUGGAUAACGAGCAGAGAGAUAAAGGAAACAGACAAGA